rnacentral:rRNA from 1 species
GAUGAACGCUGGCGGCGUGCUUAACACAUGCAAGUCGAACGAUGAAGCCCAGCUUGCUGCGUGGGUUAGAAGCGAACGGGUGAGUAACACGAGAGUAGACUGACCCUGACUCAGGGUUAAGCCUGGGAAACUGGGUCUAAUACUAGCUAUGACUACUCCUCGCAUGGAGGGGGGUGGAAAGAUUUAUUGGUCUUGGAUGGACUCGCGUCCUAUCAGAUUGUUGGUGUGGUGAUGGCUCACCAAGGCGACGACGGGUAGACGGCCUGAGAGGGUGACCGGCCACACUGCGACUGGGACACGGCACAGACCCCUACGGGACGCGACAGUGGAGAAGAGUGCACAAUGGGCUGAAGCCUAAUGCAGCGACGCCGCGUGGGGUAUGACAGCCUUCGGGUUGUAAACCUCUUUCAGAAGAGAUGAAGCGAGAGUGACGGUACCUGCAGAAGAAGCGCCGGCUAACUACGUG